GAGGCAUAAAUUGCGGCAAGUCGUAUGUAACGCCGCUUUAGUGUUGUUGUUACUAUGUGAUUGAGGAAAAUUUCCAUGGAUAAAAUUAUUGGAUGCGAAAAAUUUACAGUGUUAAAUUAAUAAUAUUUGCUAGAAUUUAAGCCUGUGUGAAUUGGAAAUAUCUUUUCAACCCGCUUGCAAUUCGUGUCGGCGGUUGUGUUCCACCCCACCAACAAGAGUGAAUAAGAAUUUUUUUUAUAGUGU